rnacentral:rRNA from 1 species
AUUGAACGCUGGCGGCAGGCCUAACACAUGCAAGUCGAGCGGAAACGAGUUAUCUGAACCUUCGGGGAACGAUAACGGCGUCGAGCGGCGGACGGGUGAGUAAUGCCUAGGAAAUUGCCCUGAUGUGGGGGAUAACCAUUGGAAACGAUGGCUAAUACCGCAUGAUGCCUACGGGCCAAAGAGGGGGACCUUCGGGCCUCUCGCGUCAGGAUAUGCCUAGGUGGGAUUAGCUAGUUGGUGAGGUAAGGGCUCACCAAGGCAACGAUCCCUAGCUGGUCUGAGAGGAUGAUCAGCCACACUGGAACUGAGACACGGUCCAGACUCCUACGGGAGGCAGCAGUGGGGAAUAUUGCACAAUGGGCGCAAGCCUGAUGCAGCCAUGCCGCGUGUAUGAAGAAGGCCUUCGGGUUGUAAAGUACUUUCAGUCGUGAGGAAGGCGUUGUCGUUAAUAGCGGCAUCGUUUGACGUUAGCGACAGAAGAAGCACCGGCUAACUCCGUGCCAGCAGCCGCGGUAAUACGGAGGGUGCGAGCGUUAAUCGGAAUUACUGGGCGUAAAGCGCAUGCAGGUGGUUUGUUAAGUCAGAUGUGAAAGCCCGGGGCUCAACCUCGGAAUAGCAUUUGAAACUGGCAGACUAGAGUACUGUAGAGGGGGGUAGAAUUUCAGGUGUAGCGGUGAAAUGCGUAUAGUCUGAAGGAAUACCGGUGGCGAAGGCGGCCCCUGGACAGAUACUGACUCUCAUAUGCGGAAGCGUGUGGAGCAAACAGGAUUUGAUAGCCUGGUAGCCCUGGGGCGAAUUCUGCAUGGGAUGAUCUGCUGAUCUAUCCCGUCGACCUUCAGUGAAGGGUCCGUGACCCUGUGUUUGUGCCUUAUGAGGGGUAUGUAGGCGGGUUGUUUGUGUGUUGUGUGUGUGUGGGUGUGUGUGGUUUAUGAUGUUGUGGUGUGUGUGGUGGUGUGUUAUGUGUUGUUUGUGUGUCCGUGUGUUGUUUGUGUGUGUGUGGUAGCUGUUG